GCCGGGUGUGGUGGCGCAUGCCUGUAAUCCCAGUAGCUUGGGAGGCUGAGGCAGGAGGAUCACGAGUUCCAUGCUGGCCUCAGCAAAAGUGAGGCUUGCUGAACAACUCAGUGAGACCCUGUCUCUA
rnacentral:sRNA from 1 species